UUUAUGGAGAGUUUGAUCCUGGCUCAGGAUGAACGCUGGCGGCGUGCCUAAUACAUGCAAGUCGAGCGAACGGACGAGAAGCUUGUUUCUCUGAUGUUAGCGGCGGACGGGUGAGUAACACGUGGAUAACCUACCUAUAAGACUGGGAUAACUUCGGGAAACCGGAGCUAAUACCGGAU
rnacentral:rRNA from 1 species